AGCAGUCGCCACGGUAAUACGGAGGGUGCAAGCGUUAAUCGGAUUUACUGGGCGUAAAGCGUGCGUAGGCGGCUAAUUGAGUCGGAUGUGAAAUCCCCGAGCUUAACUUGGGAAUUGCAUUCGAUACUGGUUAGCUAGAGUGUGGGAGAGGAUGGUAGAAUUCCAGGUGUAGCGGUGAAAUGCGUAGAGAUCUGGAGGAAUACCGAUGGCGAAGGCAGCCAUCUGGCCUAAUACUGACGCUGAGGUACGAAAGCAUGGGGAGCAAACAGGAUUAGAUACCCCUGUAGUCCCUGUCUCUUAUAC
rnacentral:rRNA from 1 species